GUGUCAGCCGCCGCGGUAAUACGGAGGGUGCGAGCGUUGUCCGGAAUCACUGGGCGUAAAGGGCGCGUAGGCGGCGCGGGAAGUCAUCGGUGAAAGUUCAGGGCUCAACUCUGAAUCGGCCGGUGAUACUCUCGUGCUCGAGCACUGUAGAGGCAGGUGGAAUUCCGGGUGUAGCGGUGGAAUGCGUAGAGAUCCGGAAGAACACCGGUGGCGAAGGCGGCCUGCUGGGCAGUAGCUGACGCUGAUGCGCGACAGCGUGGGGAGCAAACAGGAUUAGAAACCCUUGUAGUCC
rnacentral:rRNA from 1 species